UACGUAGGGCGCAAGCGUUGUCCGGAAUUAUUGGGCGUAAAGAGCUCGUAGGUGGCUUGUCACGUCGGGUGUGAAAGCUUGGGGCUUAACUCCAGGUCUGCAUUCGAUACGGGCCGGCUAGAGGUAGGUAGGGGAGAACGGAAUUCCUGGUGUAGCGGUGAAAUGCGCAGAUAUCAGGAGGAACACCGGUGGUGAAGGCGGUUCUCUGGGCCUUACCUGACGCUGAGGAGCGAAAGCGUGGGGAGCGAACAGG
rnacentral:rRNA from 1 species